CGAAAAGCCCAGGAAGCAGGAAAUGCCGGAGCUUCCGGACAGCCUGACCCCAAAUUUGCCGCAAAGAUGCAGGAACACCAGGUGGCGAUGCAGAUGAAGAUGGAGGAAGCUCAACUUGAACAGCAGAUCAAACUGGCCGAGCACCAGCAGCGUAUGGCGUUAAAGGAUGCGGAGACCGCCAGCAAGAUCCGAAAUUCAUAAUUUUCUUGCCAUAAGGACAACCAUCUGUCAGUAAUUGUCAAAUGAUGACAUUAGAAGAUUGGAAAAAACGCGACGACCUUCAGGCGGAGCUUAAACAUAUUUUAACUUUACCGGCUUUCCGUGCCGCCCUUGAGGCGUUGACGGAUUUUGCCGCGCCUAAACCCAGCCCUUCGCCGCAGGGUGUGGACUUGGCUUUGUGGGGCGCUUUGAUGAACGCCAGGCGCGAAGGAUUUUUUGACGCUCUUAGGAAUUUCCAGGCGCUGACCGAAAUGGCGGCACAACCGGCGGAGUUGCCGGCCCCCUGGACGGAGACAAAGGAGAAUAAAGAAUGAGCGACGACAACCUUGGUUUGCUGGAGGCUUUAGACGCCCAGUUAGGCGAAACAAAUCCCGCCCCAGCCACGCCUGCGCCUGAACCCAAGGCCGAGGCCCCAAAAGCGGAAACUCCCAAGGUUGAGUCCCCCAAAGCGGAAGCUCCGAAAACAGAAGCCACCCCGGAAAAAACCAAAACCCCGACACUGGAAAACAAAAUUGAGAUCCCUGACGAUGUCAUUGAUCAGUUAACCAAAGCAGGGGAGUCGGAGAAAUUCCAAUCGAACGAAGAGCUAGCUGGUUCUCCCUGAAAUGCGUUGAGGCACAGCGUUUGGUUAUAGUUUAUCGGGGGUAGAGCACUAUUUCGUUGCGGGCUGGGAUAACUGGUACCAAAACGAGUUAAACUCCGAAUACCGAUAAUAUUUUACCAAGCAGUGAGACUACGAGAGAUAAGUUCCGUGGUCAAGAGGGAAACAGCCCAGAUCGUCGUCUAAGGUCCCCAAGUUACAGCUAAGUGAUAAAGGAUGUGAAACUGCUCAGACAACCAGGAGGUUGGCUUAGAAGCAGCCAUUCCUUGAAAGAGUGCGUAAUAGCUCACUGGUCAAGCGGUUUUGCGCCGAAAAUCUAAGGGGCUAAGCUGUACACCGAAGACACGGGUUGCAUUUGCAGCGGUAAGGGAGCGUUUUGUAAGCCAUUGAAGUAUGACCGUAAGGACAUAUGGAGGUAUCAAAAGUGAGAAUGUCGGCAUAAGUAGCGAAAAGAGGAGUGAGAAUCUCCUCCACCGAAAUCCUAAGGGUUCCCACGUCAAGUUCGUCUACGUGGGGUUAGUCUGGACCUAAGGCGAGGCCGAAAGGCGUAGUCGAUGGAGAGCAGGUUGAUAUUCCUGCACUAGUGAAUAAUCGUUAUUAUCAAAGUCGUGACGCAGUAGGCUAUAUUGCGGGGGUUAUUGGAUUCCCCUCCAAACACGUAGCUUGAGAAUGUAGGUAAAUCCGCAUUCUUUUAUGUGAGGUGUGAUGGUAAGGAACUACGGUUCCAAAGUGAUAGAUGCCACGCUGACUAGAAAACCGGCGUUGAGAGAUUAUUGACUACCAGUACCCGAAACCGACACAGGUAGGAUGGCAGAGAAUGCUAAGGUGCGCGAGAUAACCCUCUUUAAGGAACUCGGCAAUUUACUUCCGUAACUUCGGGAGAAGGAAGGCCACAGUAGUGUGAUAGCCCCGCGGCUGGAGCACGAAGUGGUGUCACAAACUAGGCCCAAGCAACUGUUUACCAAAAACACAGCUCUGUGCAAAUUCGUAAGAAGAAGUAUACAGGGUGACGCCUGCCCGGUGCUGGAAGGUUAAGGGGAGAGGUUAGCUUCGGCGAAGCUUUGAACUGAAGCCCCAGUGAACGGCGGCCGUAACUAUAACGGUCCUAAGGUAGCGAAAUUCCUUGUCAGGUAAGUUCUGACCCGCACGAAAGGCGUAAUGAUUUGGGCACUGUCUCAAAGAGGGACUCGGCGAAAUUGGAUUGGCUGUGAAGAUACGGCCUAGGCAUGCCAGGACAGAAAGACCCUAUUGAGCUUUACUGUAGGCUUGUAGUGAACGCGGGAUUGAGAUGCGUAGCAUAGUUGGGAGAAUUUGAUUAGGUGAUCGUGGUCACCUAUGAUUCGUCAGUGAAAUACCAAUCUUCUCAGUUCUUCGUUCUAACGGUAACCAUUAUCUGGUUAUCGGACACUGCAUGUCGGGCAGUUUGACUGGGGCGGUCACCUCCUAAAAUGUAACGGAGGUGUACAAAGGUUCCCUCAGGUUGGUCGGAAAUCAACCAUUGAGUGCAAAAGCAAAAGGGAGCUUGACUGCGAGACUGACAAGUCAAGCAGGUAGGAAACUAGGUUUUAGUGAUCCGGUGGUUCCACAUGGAAGGGCCAUCGCUCAUCGGAUAAAAGUUACCAUAGGGAUAACAGGCUGAUCUCCCCCAAGAGUUCACAUCGACGGGGAGGUUUGGCACCUCGAUGUCGGCUCGUCGCAUCCUGGAGCGGUAGUACGUUCCAAGGGUUGGGCUGUUCGCCCAUUAAAGCGGUACGUGAGCUGGGUUCAGAACGUCGUGAGACAGUUCGGUCCAUAUCCGGUGUAGGCGUAAGAGCAUUGAGGGGAGUCCUCCUUAGUACGAGAGGACCGGGAGGAACGCACCGCUGGUGUACCUGUUAUCGUGCCAACGGUAGACGCAGGGUAGCCAAGUGCGGAGAGGAUAACCGCUGAAGGCAUCUAAGUGGGAAGCCCACCCCUCAAUAUCGUGACUGGGAAAC
rnacentral:rRNA from 1 species